GACGAACGCUGGCGGCGUGCUUAACACAUGCAAGUCGAACGAGUGGCGAACGGGUGAGUAAUACGUGGGUAACCUGCCCUCUUUUUGGGAUAAGCCUUGGAAACGGGGUCUAAUACCGAAUAAAGGGGGAUGGGCUCGCGGCCUAUCAGCUUGUUGGUGGGGUGAUGGCCUACCAAGGCGGGGACGGGUAGCCGGCCUGAGAGGGUGACCGGGCACAAUGGGACUGAGAGACGGCCCAGACACCGACGGGGGGCGGCAGUGGGGGAGAUGGCACAAUGGGCGAGAGCCUGAUGCAGCGACGCCGCGUGGGGGAUGGAGGUUUACGGGUUGUAAACCUCUUUCGCUGGCGAACGGUUAGGUGGAGAAGAAGCGCCGGCUAACUACGUGCCAGCCGCCGCGGUAAUUC
rnacentral:rRNA from 1 species